rnacentral:tRNA from 1 species
GGAUGGGUGCCCGAGCGGUUGAAGGGACCGGUCUUGAAAACCGGCAGGGGUUAACGCCCCUCGUGGGUUCGAAUCCCACUCCAUCCGCCA